rnacentral:rRNA from 1 species
UUGAUUAUGACGUACUUGUACUGAUUGAGAUUUUAACACGAAGUGAGUGGCGAACGGGUGAGUAACACGUGGGUAACCUGCCCAGAAGUAGGGGAUAACACCUGGAAACAGAUGCUAAUACCGUAUAACAGAGAAAACCGCAUGGUUUUCUUUUAAAAGAUGGCUCUGCUAUCACUUCUGGAUGGACCCGCGGCGUAUUAGCUAGUUGGUGAGGUAAAGGCUCACCAAGGCAGUGAUACGUAGCCGACCUGAGAGGGUAAUCGGCCACAUUGGGACUGAGACACGGCCCAGACUCCUACGGGAGGCAGCAGUAGGGAAUCUUCCACAAUGGACGCAAGUCUGAUGGAGCAACGCCGCGUGAGUGAAGAAGGGUUUCGGCUCGUAAAGCUCUGUUGUUAAAGAAGAACGUGGGUAAGAGUAACUGUUUACCCAGUGACGGUAUUUAACCAGAAAGCCACGGCUAACUACGUGCCAGCAGCCGCGGUAAUACGUAGGUGGCAAGCGUUAUCCGGAUU